rnacentral:rRNA from 1 species
GAAGAGUCGAGUAGUUUGGGAAUGCUGCUCAAAACGGGAGGUAAAUCCCUCCUAAAGCUAAAUACCUGCCAGAGACCGAUAGCGCACAAGUAGAGUGAUCGAAAGAUGAAAAGCACUUUGAAAAGAGGGUUAAACAGCGCGUGAAAUUGUUGAAAGGGAAGCGCUUAUGACCAGACGUGCGCCCAGCGGAUCAUCCGGCGUUCUUCGCCGGUGCACUCCGCUGGGUUCAGGCCAGCAUCGGUCUGUCCAGGGGGAGAAGGGCGGUGGGAACGUAGCUCCCUCCGGGGAGUGUUAUAGCCCGCCGCACGAUGCCUCUGGGCGGACCGAGGUUCGCGCUCUGCAAGGAUGCUGGCAUAAUGGUCAUCAGCGACCCGUCUUGAAACACGGACCAAGGAGUCGACGUCUUCAGCGAGUGUUCGGGUGCUAAAGCCCGUACGCGCAAUGAAAGUGAACGCAGGUGAGAGCUUCGGCGCAUCAUCGACCGAUCCUGAUGUAUUCGGAUGGAUUUGAGUAAGAGCUGAAGGCGUCGGACCCGAAAGAUGGUGAACUAUGCCUGUAUAGGGUGAAGCCAGAGGAAACUCUGGUGGAGGCUCGCAGCGGUUCUGACGUGCAAAUCGAUCGUCAAAUAUGGGCAUGGGGGCGAAAGACUAAUCGAACCAUCUAGUAGCUGGUUACCGCCGAAGUUUCCCUCAGGAUAGCAGUGUUGUGUUCAGUUUUAUGAGGUAAAGCGAAUGAUUAGGGACUCGGGGGCGCUAUUUAGCCUUCAUCCAUUCUCAAACUUUAAAUAUGUAAGAAGCCCUCGUUACUUCAGUGAACGGGGGCCCUCGAAUGCACCAACACUAGUGGGCCAUUUUUGGUAAGCAGAACUGGCGAUGCGGGAUGAACCGAACGCGGGGUUAAGGUGCCAGAGUGGACGCUCAUCAGACACCACAAAAGGCGUUGAUACAUCUAGACAGCCGGACGGUGGCCAUGGAAGUCGGAACCCGCUAAGGACUGUGUAACAACUCACCGGCCGAAUGUAUCAGCCCUGAAAAUGGAUGGCGCUCAAGCGUCUCACCCAUACCCCGCCCUCAGGGUAGAAACGAUGCCCUGAGGAGUAGGCGGCCGUGGAAGUCAGUGACGAAGCCCAGGGCGGAGCCCG